GUCGUCCGAUCGCAACGUCUGCGUUGGUUCUCGGGUGUCGGAUCGUCAAAAGGAGCUUCUGCUGGCUUUUGUGAAAGAGCACCCACAGAUCGCGAGUCUGUCGUGCCCGCUGGAGCCGUCGUUCACGAGGGAGGACCGGGACGACAUGUGGCAGGAGCUAGUAGCGCUUUUGAACGAAGAAGUCCCUGCGCGUAACACCAGGGCCCAGUGGCAGGCCCGAUGGAGGAAUGAGCGCUACUAUUCGCAGCAGGGUCUUGCCAAACUCCGAGGGCAGCAGAGCAGCACCCGAGGCGGCCAGAUUUCGGAUUACCGCGGCCGCGUCGUGCUUGACAGGGACGAGUGUGCGAGGCCCAUAGUUCGGGUGGUCUGAAUCGGUGAGCCCUGCUCCAGCUGCUACUGGUGUG